rnacentral:rRNA from 1 species
CCCUUAGACGUUCUGGGCCGCACGCGCGCUACACUGACCAGUGCAACAAGCAUCCGUCCUUGGCCGACAGGCCCGGGCAAUCUUUGAACGCUGUUCGUGAUGGGGAUAGACUUUUGCAAUUUUUGGUCUUCAACGAGGAAUUCCUAGUAAACGCAAGUCAUCAACUUGCAUUGAUUACGUCCCUGCCCUUUGUACACACCGCCCGUCGCACCUACCGAUUGAAUGGUCCGGUGAAGCCUCCGGAUUGGCGCGCACCUCGGUGCCGCCGAGAAGUUGGCUAAACCUUACCAUUUAGAGGAAGGUGAAGUCGUAACA